rnacentral:rRNA from 1 species
AACGAACGCUGGCGGCAGGCCUAAAACAUGCAAGUCGAACGCCCCGCAAGGGGCGUGGCGCACGGGUGAGUAACGCGUGGGAACGUGCCCUUCACUACGGGACAACGUCGGGAAACUGACGCUAAUGCCGUAUAAUGACUCCGGUUCAAAGAUUUAUCGAUGAAGGAGCGGCCCGCGUCGGAUUAGCUAGUUGGUGAAGUAAUGGUUCACCAAGGCUACGAUCAGUGACAGGUCUGAGGGGAUGAUCUGCCACCCUGGGACUGAGACACGGCCCAGACUCCUACGGGAGGCAGCAGUUAGGAAUAUUGGAAAAUGGGCGAAAGCCUGAUCCAGCCAUGCCGCGUGUGUGAUGAAGGCCCUAGGGUUGUAAAGCACUUUCGUUGAGGAAGAUAAUGACUGUACUCAAAGAAGAAGCACCGGCUAACUUCGUGCCAGCAGCCGCGGUAA